rnacentral:lncRNA from 1 species
UCUGGAAUCGAGUUUUGGGCCGAGACUUAAUAUUUUCCGUGAGGUCGAAUUUUGGGCUUCACCCAUUACAUUACAUAGUAGGUUUUUUUUUUUUUUUAUUUAUUUAUUUAUUGGGCCAAUGUUUCUUAUUUUGUGGGUGUGAAGAUACCAAAACAAUCAUCUUCAUUAUCAUCUCCCAUGUCUAUUGAGUUUUCGGAAGCAGCUGAUGAGGAAACUUUUGACGAGUCGGUCUUGCUUUUCAAAAGCUGGGCCAUAAUUUCAAAGUAUUCUUCUGCAGUUUUGGUUGCUGCCAACUGUGUUUGAGCAAAUGAUUUUUGAGCUAAGG